AUACGGAGGGUGCAAGCGUUAUCCGGAAUCACUGGGUUUAAAGGGUGCGUAGGCGGCUAAAUAAGUCAGAGGUGAAAUCUUUCCGCUUAACGGAAAAAUUGCCUUUGAAACUGUAUAGCUUGAAUGAAGUUGAGGUUAGCGGAAUGUGACAUGUAGCGGUGAAAUGCAUAGAUAUGUCAUAGAACACCAAAUGCGAAGGCAGCUAGCUAGGCUUGAAUUGACGCUGAGGCACGAAAGCGUGGGGAGCGAACAGGAUUAGAAACCCUUGUAGUCC
rnacentral:rRNA from 1 species